GUCCAGCCUGCCCAGUGAAUCUUAAACGGCCGCGGUAUCCUAACCGCGCGAAGGUAGCAUAAUCACUUGUUCUUUAAAUGGGGACUCGUAUCAACGGCAUCACGAGGGCUUUACUGUCUCCUCUUUUUGAUCAGUGAAAUUGAUCUUCCCGUGAAGAAGCGGGAAUAUUUUUAUAAGACGAGAAGACCCCAUGGAGCUUUAAACCAAAUAGCAACUUAACCACUUAUCCCACAAUAAAUUUAAGCCCUGUUAUACGGUUUUCGGUUGGGGUGACCGCGGAGUAAAGCAUAUCCUCCACGACGGAAAGAACACAAUCUUUAUUUAAGAACCACAUUUCUAAAAAUUAGUAUACUAACGUUUACUGACCCGACAAUCGAUCAACGAACCAAGUUACCC
rnacentral:rRNA from 1 species